rnacentral:tRNA from 1 species
GGAGGAGCCGGUCCGGCUACGGAGACGCCGUUGGAAUCGGCGUAGGCCCGCGAGGGCCUCGUGGGUUCGAAUCCCACCUCCUCCGC